rnacentral:rRNA from 1 species
UACAUGGGGUGCAAACGUUGCUCGGAAUUAUUGGGCGUAAAGCGCACGUAGGCGGUUCGUUAAGUCGGAUGUGAAAGCCCUCGGCUCAACUGAGGAAGUGCACCCGAAACUGGCGAGCUUGAGUACGAAAGAGGAUCGCGGAAUUCCCGGUGUAGAGGUGAAAUUCGUAGAUAUCGGGAGGAACACCGGUGGCGAAGGCGGCGAUCUGGGUCGAUACUGACGCUGAGGUGCGAAAGCGUGGGGAGCAAACAGA